CCUACGGGGAGCAGCAGUGAGGAAUAUUGGUCAAUGGACGAGAGUCUGAACCAGCCAAGUAGCGUGAAGGAUGACUGCCCUAUGGGUUGUAAACUUCGGUUAUAGGGGAAUAAAAUGUUCCACGUGUGGGAUGUUGUAUGUACCAUAUGAAUAAGGAUCGGCUAACUCCGUGCCAGCAGCCGCGGUAAUACGGAGGGUCCGAGCGUUAUCCGGCUUUCUUGGGGUUAAAGGGAGCGUAGGUGGCUUGUUAAGUCAGUUGUGAAAGUUUGCGGCUCAACCGUAAAAUUGCAGUUGAAACUGGCAUUCUUUAGUACAGUAGAGGUAGGCUGCAUUCGUGGUGUAGCGGUG
rnacentral:rRNA from 1 species